rnacentral:rRNA from 1 species
CAGUCGCCGCGGUAAUACGAAGGGGGCUAGCGUUGUUCGGAAUUACUGGGCGUAAAGCGCGCGUAGGCGGUUACUCAAGUCAGAGGUGAAAGCCCGGGGCUCAACCCCGGAACUGCCUUUGAAACUAGGUGACUAGAAUCUUGGAGAGGUCAGUGGAAUUCCGAGUGUAGAGGUGAAAUUCGUAGAUAUUCGGAAGAACACCAGUGGCGAAGGCGACUGACUGGACAAGUAUUGACGCUGAGGUGCGAAAGCGUGGGGAGCAAACAGGAUUAGAUACCCCCGUAGUCCCUGUCUCUUAUAC